CCGCAGUUGAUGCUUGCCGGCAAAACUGUCCAGCGCCUCGCGCGUGCCGAGCAGGGCCAACCGGGUGCCGGGUUCGAUGCCCAGGCUGCGGUCCA
rnacentral:tRNA from 1 species